rnacentral:lncRNA from 1 species
AACAGACUCUGGCUGCGUAGGUAAACUCUAGCAUUUCAAGGUGAGGAGCAGGGACCUAGGAAGAAGGAAUUCCCCAAUUGUCUUUCCAGGGUGCUUCUCUUGGUUAGCUGAGCUCAAACUAUUUUCUAGUUGCUACUUUUAAGAUUUAAAUUAUAGGGAGUGAGCAACUGAGUCACCUAGCCAGAAGAUAACCACUGGGAAUUAUCGGGGAACUGUCAUUCCAACCUAAGACAUCAGGAAGCUACUGCUGGAGAAGAUGGGAUGGAUAUUUGUCAGCUGAAAGAUUGCUGGGGAAUUAUGGGAAGAUGCUGCCAUAUAUGGGCCACCUACGGGGUGUGGAAGGAGUCAAAGCCAGGGGGUGAGUUUCCUGUGAUUCUUGGUCACUCUGAUUCUCUGCAUCCAAUAGGUUCUAGUGUAGCUAGAUGUUUGCUCAAAUGCUGUCUCAGUGGAAGAAGUGGAGCCCCUCACAUUAACCUCAGAAGGAUCCCUCUCACCUUCUAUAUAAUUUCCCGCAGUUCACUGAAGCUUGAAUCCCUAUAACAAGAGACCAAUUCUAUAGUCAUUUUUGUCUUAUGUCAAAAUGCAUAGUUC